ACUUCCCUACGCAUCCUCUGAUCUGAGUCAACUUGAUAAACCACCAGAAAAUCAAUACAGAAGAAAAAAAAAACAAAGCAAAACAAAAACACAAACCAAGUUAAUAGGUUAACAAAUUAAAUUUUCUAAGCAAAGGACCUUGUUGCAGACAAAGAGAUACAGAUGUUGGGGAAAGGGAGUGGAAAGACAGUGGAGGGGGAAAUGGCCUUUCCCAGCCUUUUUAAUGCAGUGAGAAAUUAAUUUGCCUCCACUAUUUUGUCUCACUGGACUCAGUGCUUUGCAGCACAGGUAGCCUGUAUUUAAAUGAUUUUACACGGUCUGGUCAUUGGGUGGCAGCUCUGAGCCAAUGUUUUUAUCUGACAGGGCAGAACUUGGGGAAAAAAGUGAGAUUUUUCUCUGGUUUAGCUAAGCCAUUCACCAAAAUUGCUUUUUAAGAACUGUUUUGGUCAUCUAUAAACAGUCAAUGCACUUGAAAUAAAGAUAAUUAUACUAUAAAGAUUUGAAACAGAAGGGAUCCAUUGCAUCUAAGCUUCUGCAGCACUCUCCUCAUUACUUUUUCUUGCAGUAAUGGCUAUUUCCAAGCUCAGGUUUAUGCAUACCUGCAGUCGAGGCAUAGAGUAUUUUGCAGGAUAUCACUUUUAAUAAGGAUUUCCUGUUCUCCAAACAAUAUUUUUUUCUUUUCAUUUAACCCUCUAACCUCUGCCUAUCUCACGUUAUCCUGAACAAUUCCAACCUUUGGUAUCUCCACUGUGUAUGACUUUGAAUAGCUCAUAUAAAGAGAUGGUGACAACCGUAAGAACAGAAGACAGUCAAUGCAAAAAACUCUUAUCAGAGUCUUCAGCCUGCUAUUCAAUUCAACCCUUUGUGCUGUAGAGCUUGCACAGAAGUAAAACUUAAAUUCAGAGCUACAUCUAUCCUGAGACUCCUCUCUGACAGAGCCAAGACUUCAUGGACUGAAGCUGCCAAGAGCAGUGACCUGGUAGGAGAGGUGGGAUCACUGCACUUGGAAACAUCAUCUCCUUACGGAUGGAGAAUGGGUUCUCUCAGCUCUGGGCAAAACAGGGGCGAGAGCUACAUUACCAAGAAGCUUUCAGGUUCUAUUUCUGAUUAGUAAACAGGCCUACUGAUUUUUAUGCUGAGUUACUAUUUUACCCCUUUUAAUAACAUUCUUUUUUGUUUAAACCCUUGGAUUCAUUGCUCCUGAGCAGGAAAACUGAUUAUCUAAGCUCAUUAUGUGCCCAAGCAAAAUCAUUUUCUUUUCCUAUAACCUGAGAGCCUUGAACUGAAAUUGAUUAACUAUUUUUAGAAAGAAGCCCUAGCUAAAUCUGGCUUCUUCCCCUGCCAAUCUCACCUAUCAGGGGAGUGCAAAACAAGCCUAUCUAAAUGGAGGUGCAUGGAAAUUAUGACCUG
rnacentral:lncRNA from 1 species